rnacentral:rRNA from 1 species
GGUGUGAAUAUUGGCACAAUGGGCGCAAGCCUGAUGCAGCCAUGCCGCGUGUGUGAAGAAGGCCUUAGGGUUGUAAAGCACUUUCAGCGAGGAGGAAGGCACCAUACUUAAUACGUGUGGUGAUUGACGUUACUCGCAAAAAAAGCACCGGCUAACUCCGUGCCAGCAGCCGCGGUAAUAAAAAAA